GUUACUUCAACCAAUAUAAGUGUUUUCAUAAGACAUUGAUUUUUGGUUAGAGUAACCUUUUUCUGAGGUGAUCUCCCCCACAACUUAAAACAAGAAAUCCCACAAAUAUGAGAUAUACAGAGUCCGUCACCAAGUCUUAGUUCUUCCCUCAGCCCAACUGUCCUUGGCUGACGUUCAUGGAGUAACCCUUUAAUGGAAUUUUCAACAAACAUUAGACUCUGUUUGUGAACAGAAGCAGAGACAGUAAUUCACAGCCAAUGUUUACUAAUCUAAUGAUUAGUCUUAAAUAUUGACUGUGCUUUCUCUGCAGUAAAAAUUCUCCUUGGUUAGUUGAGACCAAAGCUAGUUUCCUUUCUUGCUGUCUGGAAAACGGCUUUGGAUUUGGCGGUGGUUGCUGAACUCUGGGGUACUCACUUUUCUGUCUGGCUGAUUUCCUUUGAUUUAAGGCUUACUAUAAGUUUCAAAGGUCUGCCGUUUUAAAGAAGUUGAUACUCGCUAGUCUUAAAUGUCUAUAGUACAUUUUAUGUUUAAGAUCCC